rnacentral:rRNA from 1 species
AUUGAACGCUGGCGGCAUGCUUUACACAUGCAAGUCGAACGGUAACAGGCCGCAAGGUGCUGACGAGUGGAGAACGGGUGAGUAAUGCAUCGGAACGUGCCCAGUCGUGGGGGAUAACUACUCGAAAGAGUAGCUAAUACCGCAUACGAUCUAUGGAUGAAAGCGGGGGACCGUAAGGCCUCGCGCGAUUGGAGCGGCCGAUGUCAGAUUAGGUAGUUGGGGGGGUAAAGGCUCACCAAGCCAACGAUCUGUAGCUGGUCUGAGAGGACGAACAGCCACGCUGGGACUGAGAAACGGCCCAGACUCCUACGGGAGGCAGCAGUGGGGAAUUUUGGACAAGGGGCGAAAGCCUGAUCCAGCAAUGCCGCGUGCAGGAAGAAGGCCUUCGGGUUGUAAACUGAUGUUGUACGGAACGAAACGGCUCUGGUUAAUACCCGGGGCUAAUGACGGUACCGUAAGAAUAAGCACCGGCUAACUACGUG